ACGCUGGCGGUAUGCCUAANACAUGCAAGUCGAACGAGUAUCUUUUUUUGUUCAAAAAAAGGAUUGCAGUGGCGAACGGGUGAGGAACACGUGAGAAAUCUGCCUUCAACACUGGGAUAACUCCGGGAAACCGGGGCUAAUACCGGAUAUGAAACCUGCGGGCAUCCGCGGGUUUGGAAAGUUUUUCGGUUGAAGAUGAUCUCGCGGCCUAUCAGCUUGUUGGUGAGGUAAUGGCUCACCAAGGCGACGACGGGUAGCCGGCCUGAGAGGGCGACCGGCCACACUGGGACUGAGACACGGCCCAGACUCCUACGGGAGGCAGCAGUGGGGAACAUUGGGCAAUGGAGGAAACUCUGACCCAGCGACGCCGCGCGCGGGAUGAAGGCCUUCGGGUUGUAAACCGCUUUCAGCAGGGAAGAAGCGAAAGUGACGGUACCUGCAGAAGAAGCACCGGCUAACUAUGUG
rnacentral:rRNA from 1 species